rnacentral:misc_RNA from 1 species
UUUCUGAGGUGAUGUAAUCAUAAAACACAUUACCUUUUUCUGCUGAUUAGAUUUAAAGGCAAUUCAAUGACAUAUUUUUCAACUCUUUACUGUAUAGAAGAUAAUGUGAGUCCUAAUGUGACAUGCCCUGCUGACAUCGAUGUGAGUACAGGAAGACAAACUACCUGGAAUGACCCAGUAGUCACUGACAAUAUUGAUACCAACCUAUUAGUUAAUUGUGACCCACCUUCUGGCUCUUCAUUUGAUGUUGGUGAAAAUAAUGUCACAUGUUCAGCAACUGAUAGUGCUAAGAAUGAAGGAAGUUGUAUGUUUGUUGUUGAAGUGAAUAAAGGAAAUACUGACACGAUUAGUGAUGGUGGUGAAGAAAGUAGUAAUAUUACGCUUAUUGUGGUGAUUGUUCUGGUUGUUACCCUUAUUCUGAUAAUUAUAGCAAUAGUGCUGGUAUGGAAAAUACGAGUCAAGAGAAGAGACAUAAAAAGUCCAGAGGCUAUCACAUAUUCAGCAAAUAAAGGAAUUUCUGGGAAGGGAUUGGAGCAGCAAAUUCACGAGCCACUUACCCCAGAAAUAACCCACACUCAAGAUAAUAACACAGAACUUCCAUAUAUAAAUCAGGACAUCAGAAAAGCUGCAAUCCCCAUACAUGACCUCCCUGAAUAUGUUAGGGUGAAAAAAGCAUCUGGAGAACUUGAUGAAGAAUGGGAGUUGUUACCUGAAGGUGUUGAAAGCAGUGAAAGAGCAUCAGUGGCCUUUGACUCACAAAAUGCAUCUAAGAAUCGUUACCGCAAUGUUGUUCCAUAUGAUGAACAUCGGGUUGUGUUAGAAAAGAUCCAUGAUGAUCCGUAUUCUGAUUACAUCAACGCCUGUUUCAUAAAGGGCUUUACAAAUGAGAAAGCUUAUAUCGCAGCUCAAGGACCUAAUAAAACGACGAUUGCUGAUUUCUGGAGAAUGAUUUGGCAAGAAAAUGUUUAUUCUAUUGUCAUGGUAACAAACCUUGUGGAGGAUGGAAAAAAUAAGUGCACAAAGUAUUGGCCAGAUGAUGCCAAAAGGUAUGGUGAUAUAUUGGUCUCUACUGUAGAAUUUGUUCCUACGACAUCAUUCACUAUAAGAAAACUCAAAAUGCUGAAGGGAAAAGAUGUACAGUUUGUAAAACAAUACCACUUCCUGGUUUGGCCAGACAAGAACAUUCCUCGUGCUUCAUCCCCUGUUAUUAGUAUGUUGAAAGUCAUACGAAAAGAAGAACCACAAAAUGCUGGACCAGUUUUAGUCCACUGCAGUGCUGGUGCUGGUAGAACAGGGGCAGUUAUUGCAAUUGAUGCCAUGAUGGAUAUGGCACAGCAAACACAAGAGGUCAACAUAUUUGAAUUUGUGAAAGAGAUGCGCAAAAGACGACCUAACAUGGUUCAAACACCGUUGCAGUACAAGUUUGUUUAUGACACAAUACUAGAGUUUGUCAUCUUUGGAGAAACUUCCAUUCCUGUCUCAGAAUUUAAGGAACAUUACAAGAAGCUUCGGCAUGUCAACCCAAAGUCUAAUAAAACAUAUCUGUCUGAAGAAUUUGAAGCACUGCAAAGGAUAUCAUCAACACUGGAGGCCGACAGCACUAAAGGAGGGCUGCGAUCUGAAAACAGAAAAAAGAACCGAUAUCCUGACAUCUUGCCAUAUGACCGUAAUCGGCCAUUCAUUAUGACCCCUGGUGAGAAUGGGCCAUCCGAUUAUAUCAAUGCUUCGUUUUUUGACAGUUUUGAUAAGAAGGAUAUGUUUCUUGGGACUCAGGCUCCCAUGAGGAAUACUGUUGAAGACUUCUGGAGAAUGAUUGCUGACUACAACUCAAAAGCUAUUGUUACACUUAAUGAUUUCUACAAUCGGGAUAAGACUGUUGCACAAUUCUGGCCAGAAAAUAGUUCACAGUUUACUUUCAGGCAUUUGACUGUUAAUAUGGUGACGAGUGAGAAUUUAUCCAAACAGAUCAUAGUUCACACAGUUGAUAUAAUGAAGACUGAGGAGCAUUUGUGUUUCCUUAGUGGCUAAAAAUGAGCAACAAGCCUGAUGGUUGCACCUUCCUUCAUUCUUUGUGUUUCCUUUCUUUAUUUGUGGUGAACUCAGGAUCCUUAAAUGUUAAGAUCUUUGAGUACCUUGGUUGGCCCGCAGAGAAGUAUACUCCAACCUCUUCAAAGGAAUUUCUGCAGCUUGUUACUGUAGUAAAUAAGCAGCAAUCAGAAUUUGGAGACCCAC